GUUGCAUUGUUGUUGAUGACAUUCGUCCUAAGGUGAUGUGGUGUCAAGUUGCUUGGUAUUCUACUUUUAAGCUUUUCGAGCUUGAAACUUGUGGAUAAUCGGUUGGCGAUAGGCAUCACUCCCUUGGUCGAUGAAAGUCGUCCAAUGAUGUGGUGGUUUGUUUAUUUAGUUCUCGCAUCGUUCGGUGCAUUCUGUGGUCAUUUUGGCUAUUAGCGGCUUGCUUGGCAAUUGGGCUUUGUGGGUGGCUACUAGUAGGGUGUCUUCGGGGAUGUCUACCGUAAAGGUGCAUGAGUGGUGUUUGGUUUGUUACGGGUGGUUGGCUCUUUGCUUGCGCAACAACUUCCACCUGGCUUACCUCUUCAGGCUUGUGUCAAUGCUUUUAUUGCAUUGAAUACACGAUGGGUUUCUUGUGUUGCAUGCCUAAUUAAUGGUAUCGUUUGAUGAAUUGGUUUCCCUAUUCGUCUUGCUUCGCGUAUGUGAUGUGAGAUGAACCUUGAAUCAACCUUUGUGAUCCACACNUUUUGAUGCAUUUGCAUUGAUUUUGUGGCCCAUUAAGUGUUGGUCGGUCUCAUGGAUAUGGAACAUGGUGUGGGCAUGGNAAUCUUAAUGGUUCCUUGUUUGCCCAARGUUUAGCUUUUCUAAAACGAUUGUCUAUCA
rnacentral:misc_RNA from 1 species